CAAGGAAUUUUCCGCAAUGGGCGAAAGCCUGACGGAGCAACGCCGCGUGGAGGAUGACGGCUCUCGGGUUGUAAACUCCUUUUGUGGGGGAUGACUUCGACAGUACCCCACCAACAAGCCCCGGCUAACUACGUGCCAGCAGCCGCGGUAAUACGUAGGGGGCCAGCGUUGUCCGGACUUACUGGGCGUAAAGCGCGCGCAGGCGGAAGAGUAUGUGCCGUGUGAAAGCGCCAUUCUUAACGUGGCGAGGUCAUGGUACACAGCUUUUCUUGAGCCUCGGAGAGGUCGGUGGAAUUCCGGGUGGAGCGGUGAAAUGCGUAGAUAUCCGGAGGAACACCAGGGGCGAAAGCGGCCGACUGGCCGAGUGCUGACGCUGAGGCGCGACGGCGUGGGGAGCAAACCGG
rnacentral:rRNA from 1 species